UGGGGGCCACGGGGCGGUUCCACGAGUCGGGAGCGUGCCUGCAAGGGUCCACAGCGCGCGUUACAGGCAGCGAGCAGGGGGUCCACCAGUGCGCAUGCUCCUCCCCGCCCUGAGUCUCGGCUCCGCCCCUCAGCCGGGGUUGGUCCGGGGCGGGGAGCUCCAAGCUCAAGGCCUCCCAGGUGCACCCUUCUCUUGUGGAGAUGGGAGAGCAAAGAGAACACUGGGCCUCCUGGCAGAUGACCUGUGAUCCACCUGGGUGCCGCAGCGUGUGCCUCAGGCAAGGUCAAGUCUCUGACCCUCGGGCUUCUCAUCUGCAAAAAGGAUGUGGUAACACCUCCUCUACUAUCUCACAAGUUUGAAGUGAGAACGUAAUAAAUAACUGCCCAAGAGCUUC